rnacentral:rRNA from 1 species
AGUAGGGAAUAUUGGUCAAUGGAUGCAAGUCUGAACCAGCCAUGCCGCGUGCAGGAAGAAGGCCUUCUGGGUUGUAAACUGCUUUUGUCAGGGGAUAAAAUGGGAGUGCGCUCCUAAUUGAAGGUACCUGGCGAAUAAGCCACGGCUAACUACGUGCCAGCAGCCGCGGUAAUACGUAGGUGGCAAGCGUUGUCCGGAUUUAUUGGGUUUAAAGGGUGCGUAGGCGGUCCUAUAAGUCAGUGCUGAAAUAUCCCGGCUUAACCGGGAGGGUGGCAUUGAUACUGCAGGACUUGAGUGAAGUCGAGGUAGGCGGAAUUGACGGUGUAGCGGUGAAAUGCUUAGAUAUCGUCAAGAACACCGAUAGUGAAGACAGCUUACUAGACUUCAACUGACGCUGAGGCACGAAAGUGUGGGGAUCAAA